rnacentral:sRNA from 1 species
UUAUUAAACGAAAAUGUUGUUAUAAAAUCGUGUUGACACGAUUUUAUAACAACAUUUUCGUUUAAUAA